UGCGUAGGCGGCUCUAUAAGUCAGUAGUGAAAUCUCGAAGCUCAACUUCAAACGUGCUAUUGAAACUGUAGAGCUUGAGUACAGACGAGGCAGGCGGAAUGUGUUGUGUAGCGGUGAAAUGCUUAGAUAUAACACAGAACACCGAUAGCGAAGGCAGCUUGCCAGACUGUAACUGACGCUGAGGCACGAAAGCGUGGGGAGCGAACAGGAUUAGAUACCCUGGUAGUCC
rnacentral:rRNA from 1 species